rnacentral:lncRNA from 1 species
UACCCACAAGGUGGGUCAAGAUGCAAUUGACAAGGUGUCCGAUGGUAACUUAGAAUAGGAUCAGGUGAUCGCAGGCCUAUGGCUUGUGGCGGCUCGUAUCACAGAACAGAUGGCUAAACUGUAAAAUGUACCUGCACUUGCUCCGAGCUGAGUUUCAAGUUGUUUAGAACCUGAAAAUCAACUCAGACAUCGGUCCACGAUUGUCAUUCAACUCAACUACGGGAACUUCUACUUCCCCUCCAUCAUCAGCCAGACGGUUAGAUCUAUCUCCAUUGAAGUCUAAGAAUUCCUCGUCCAAUGAUGAUCCUGGCACUGGCCCAUGCGUCUCUUCACCGGCCACCUUUCCAGUGGCUGCUACAGUUGGAGCCUCGCUGUCAGAAAAUGGGAGGACCAGAGACAGUUUCCUGAGACUCUGUGCGGGUUGAGCACCACAGAUGGAUCAUUUCUGCUUUUAAAAUGUUACGUAGCUCGACGUACCAGGGAAAAUCCUGAAAAACCAAGAACAGUUGAGAUUUUGGGGGGGGGGGUUUGGUACAUGUUUGUAUUUGUCGCGUGUCUCUUUUUCGGGUACAUGCCAUAUUACUGAUCUUAUUUGUGUCAGACAAAAUUAUUCACGAGAAUGUGAGUAAGUAAGGGAACAUUCUCUUGUAAGAAAAGUGUAAGAAUCAGGGGGUGGUCUUGAACCAAUGUAAUAGUAAUAUUACACUUUUUUUCGAUCCCGAGGUGUUAACUUUAUCAAAAUUCUACUGUAAUUUGGGGGUGUUUUGACAUUGACAUGCAUCUCAAUUUUUUUUCUUAUUAGUAA